GCAUGCUAUUACCAAAGUGGAUUUCUCUUUCCUUUAGUAUCAGCAUUCUGAUUCUUUUAUAGAAUAGUCACAUAUAAUUGGAAUACACAGUCACAUCAGAGACACAGGAAGCACAGAGUUUGUUUCUCUUUGUAAGCUCCAUUUGACCACAGCAGUGAAGUUUCCGAAGAAGGGUGUUUGGAUCAAGACUGUUCACUUGAGAGGUGAGAGUGGUCCAGGUUUUGAGGCGCUACAUGUCUGAGAAACAGAUCAUCAUAGACACUGAGAAUUGGGGCACAUCCUUCCUUUCCUACCUGACUGUAGACAUGCCCCGUAGAUGCUGGAUGACAGAGACGGACAAUUCAGAUGUAGCACCCCGACACAAAACCAACCGUGGAAAUACCAAUAAAAUCAGCUGUUUCGUUUUUAAAAUACGCAGCAACAUGAGUAAAUGACUGGUUCAUUUUAUCAGCCCCCUUUUUUUGCUGUCAUAUAAUUACAAGAAUGGAAGUUGAUAUACUUUUUAAAAUACAGCUUUUCAAAAUCCCGUCUUGAGGAAAAAAGCUUGGCCAAUUAAGAAGGCUGAGGGGAGGAACUGCAGGCACUUUUAUUUCCAGCUGUCAACAGGAUGGAAAAAAUAUGUCAACUUAUUUAUGUUUAUUUAUUUAUAUGCAUGAUGAAUAAGUUAAGGAACGCUUCAUCUCAAACACAGAUUGCUUUUAUUUUAGCUAAGUUAAUGUUUCAGUUCCAUAUAUAUUUUUGAAUUUCCAUCAAUGUCAAACACCAUUUUUUUCUUCUUAAAAAAAAAAAAAGAUUUACAAGCACUUUUAUGGCACUCAAGAAAGUAGGCUGAAGGUUCAUAAUAAUAAUUUUCCUUUUAAAAAACAUCCAUCAGACCAAAAUAAAAUCAUUUUAAUUAACUCCUUCCUGAGUAACUAAAACCUUGGAAUGUGCUGAAAGGUUAUAAUAAAUAAGACAGUCAAAGAUCAACUAGCUUAAAAGGUAUUUUUUUAAAUUAAACUAUGUAAAAUGUACAAUACAUUUCAUGAAGUACAAACUGUUGGGCCCAGGGCCAAAAAAAAUGUUGUCAUGUUUGCCAAAUAAACUGAUGAAGUACCUUGACUUUUAGGACCUAGAGGGUGUUGGUUGGGACAAAAUAACAUUAAGACCCUGUAAGUAAAUCCAUCACCAUUUUUUGUUGUGAAGUUAUAAUGAUCACUGCUGAAAAUAAAUGCCUUUGAACACACAGGUAACAGUACCCAGGUAAACUUGCAGUAAGAGGAUGAAUGUUUUUGAACGACCAAUUGUCUCAAUGUUCUGACAAGAGCAGAGAAAACACAGCCAACUCAAAUUUAUUUUCAGAUUGCGAGAUUGCACAGUGUGUAAACUAAUCAUCAUUCUUUAUAUGGAAUUUCAUAGAAAUGACUCACAGAGUACCAGGCAGCAGUUCUUGUACUGGUUUUGAAUAUGAUAGCUGUUCUCCAGGUUGCUUUUGAAAGUAUGCCUAAUGGUAGGGCCCUGGUCUCUCUGAACAGGACAAAGGAUAUUUCCUCCUCUAAGAACAUUUCCCUUAAUUGCUUCUCUGCCCCCAUCCUCUGAGGCAGAAAGAAGGCCCAUGAGCGGCCAAGUGCUGGACUCUGUGCCUCUGUGGUCCCUGCCCUCCCUGGACUCCUGUGGGCUGGAGCCUUCUUAACACACAUCUCAUGAUAAAGUAGCUUUAGUGCUCACUCGGCACGUUCCAAAUGACUUGCUUUACAUCUUGGCUACCGUCCAAUUUUAGUGAAGGAAGAAAAAAUUCUAGAGAGACUUGGUGGUUUAUGAAAAGUAGAAAAUGUGUAGCUUGUGUAAAGUCAGAGUCUUAUUUACUAUUAACUACUCCCAACUCACACAUGUGCUAGGGCUGGCUCUAGGGGACAAAUAUGAAAUAGACAAAAUUUGUUGCAAGUAUCCUUCCUUCUGCCACCACUGAACCUCGGCUUC
ensembl:lncRNA